rnacentral:rRNA from 1 species
AGUGAACGCUGGCGGUAGGCCUAACACAUGCAAGUCGAACGGCAGCACAGUAAGAGCUUGCUCUUACGGGUGGCGAGUGGCGGACGGGUGAGGAAUACAUCGGAAUCUACUUUUUCGUGGGGGAUAACGUAGGGAAACUUACGCUAAUACCGCAUACGACCUACGGGUGAAAGCAGGGGAUCUUCGGACCUUGCGCGAUUGAAUGAGCCGAUGUCGGAUUAGCUAGUUGGCGGGGUAAAGGCCCACCAAGGCGACGAUCCGUAGCUGGUCUGAGAGGAUGAUCAGCCACACUGGAACUGAGACACGGUCCAGACUCCUACGGGAGGCAGCAGUGGGGAAUAUUGGACAAUGGGCGCAAGUCUGAUCCAGCCAUACCGCGUGGGUGAAGAAGGCCUUCGGGUUGUAAAGCCCUUUUGUUGGGAAAGAAAAGCAGCAGGUUAAUACCCCGCUGUUCUGACGGUACCCAAAGAAUAAGCACCGGCUAACUUCG